AGUGAACGCUGGCGGUAGGCCUAACACAUGCAAGUCGAACGGCAGCACAGUAAGCGCUUUCUCUUACGGGUGGCGAGUGGCGGACGGGUGAGGAAUACAUCGGCAUCUACUUUUUCGUGGGGGAUAACGUAGGGAAACUUACGCUAAUACCGCAUACGACCUACGGGUGAAAGCAGGGGAUCUUCGGACCUUGCGCGAUUGAAUGAGCCGAUGUCGGAUUAGCUAGUUGGCGGGGUAAAGGCCCACCAAGGCGACGAUCCGUAGCUGGUCUGAGAGGAUGAUCAGCCACACUGGAACUGAGACACGGUCCAGACUCCUACGGGAGGCAGCAGUGGGGAAUAUUGGACAAUGGGCGCAAGCCUGAUCCAGCCAUACCGCGUGGGUGAAGAAGGCCUUCGGGUUGUAAAGCCCUUUUGUUGGGAAAGAAAAGCAGCAGGUUAAUACCCCGCUGUUCUGACGGUACCCAAAGAAUAAGCACCGGCUAACUUCGUG
rnacentral:rRNA from 1 species